GAUGAACGCUGGCGGCGUGCCUAAUACAUGCAAGUCGAGCGAACAGACGAGGAGCUUGUUCCUCUGACGUUAGCGGCGGACGGGUGAGUAACAUGUGGAUAACCUACCUAUAAGACUGGGAUAACUUCGGGAAACCGGAGCUAAUACCGGAUAACAUGUUGAACCGUAUGGUUCAACAGUGAAAGACGGUCUUGCUGUCACUUAUAGAUGGAUCCGCGCCGCAUUAGCUAGUUGGUAAGGUAACGGCUUACCAAGGCAACGAUGCGUAGCCGACCUGAGAGGGUGAUCGGCCACACUGGAACUGAGACACGGUCCAGACUCCUACGAGAGGCAGCAGUAGGGAAUCUUCCGCAAUGGGCGAAAGCCUGACGGAGCAACGCCGCGUGAGUGAAGAAGGUCUUCGGAUCGUAAAACUCUGUUAUUAGGGAAAAACAAAUGUGUAAGUAACUAUGCACGUCUUGACGGUACCUAAUCAGAAAGCCACGGCUAACUACGUG
rnacentral:rRNA from 1 species